rnacentral:lncRNA from 1 species
CUUUUUUUGAAAGAAAAAAGGAAGUUGGAAAAAGAUUUACUUUGGGAGUUUGUUUUCCAUUUUCCCAGGAAGUUACUUACCUUAUGGCAUGAGAGACUUGCUUGUGGGAGCCAGAUCCACCUUGAUACAGCCUGGCCCCUCUAUGGGACAGGAGGUUGAAGGACUGCGUGGACAGAAGCUGAGCUGGUGGACAUGAGGAGAAGCAGGAAGAGCAAACUGAAGCAUCUCAAAUGCUGGGCAGAGGACCUAUGCUGGAACUGAAGCUGUGGGACAACUAGGAGAGCCUCUACAGGAUUCCCAAGCACAUGCGAUAGUUCAGGCACUCGAGUGGGCAAACUGCAGGUAGAGCCUGGGCACUCCUGGUGCUGGUUUCUCAACUCUGUUUCCCAAGUGUACAUCAAUCUCAACCUUGAAAG